GACGAACGCUGGCGGCGUGCUUAACACAUGCAAGUCGAGCGGUAAGGCCCUUUUCGGGGGUACACGAGCGGCGAACGGGUGAGUAACACGUGGGUGACCUGCCCUCAGCUCUGGGAUAAGCCUGGGAAACCGGGUCUAAUACCGGAUAUGACUCCAUGACGCAUGUUGUGGGGUGGAAAGCCUUGUGCGGCUGAGGAUGGGCCCGCGGCCUAUCAGCUUGUUGGUGGGGUGAUGGCCUACCAAGGCGACGACGGGUAGCCGGCCUGAGAGGGCGACCGGCCACACUGGGACUGAGACACGGCCCAGACUCCUACGGGAGGCAGCAGUGGGGAAUCUUGCGCAAU
rnacentral:rRNA from 1 species